AUGCUAAUGAGGGAGUGGGGCUUGUCCGUAUUUACGUUGAGGCGGGAGCCGCCGCCCUUCAUUCACCCACAUGGUCCUUCGAGGUGCCGCCGCCGCCGCCUGACCUGCGCCUUCGCGCCACUUCGCGCCCUCGGGCGAGGCCGAGGGGGUGGGGACGACCCCCGCCGCGCCGCCGCUGCUCGCGCGCCUCGCGAAGCCCCUCCGCGGGGCGGGCCGGCCGGCCGGCCGCACCCCCGGCCUGGGGCCUCCGGUCGUAGUAAAACGGAGGCGGGUGGGGAGGCGGGAGCGAGAGCCCGCGGCGGGCGAGGCGAAGAUGGUGGCAGCUACUCCUCCCGUCAUACACGUGGACCUAACUGCACCAAAAGCUUUUCUAAGGAUCCUUGCUGGGAAGGAAGUUUUCCUGAGUGGGCAAACCUAUCUAAGCAGAGCAAGCCAGACUUGGGUUUUUCCUGUAGUUUGAAGAGCCCUACAGAAUGA
rnacentral:lncRNA from 1 species